rnacentral:lncRNA from 1 species
AAUGUGUGCCACCUCGGCAGGAACGCCACGUGGAUCAGGAUGAGUGGGCCAUUGGCCCAGGUGGGUAGGACAGGUGUGACAACACGUAACAAUGGUCCCCCAAGUCUAAGUAUAAUCAUUAAUGUAAUGCGUGGACUUUAAUGGAGUAAAAGUUGAAAGAAUUUUUGAACCCCAAAUAACAGUCCCCCAAGUCUAAGUAUAGAUAUUUAUAUCAUGGUUGGAGUUUGAGAAGUGUUGCUGUGGGUGAGCGAUGAAGUAGGCGAGGUGUUCGAACUCCGAAGAUGAGCCGAGGCGGUUGAGGAACCAAACCUGCGAGGCUUGAUUGUUGAAUGGCGAAGAGGAAGCCGAGGUGGUUGAGGAACCGAACCUGCGAGGCUUGAUUGCUGAAUGGUGAGGAUGACGUCGAGGUGGUUGAGGACCGAACCUGCGAGGCUUGAUUGCUGAAUGGUGAGGAGGACGCUAAGGUGGUUGAGAAACCGAACCUGCGAGGCUUGAUUGCUGAAUGGCGAAGAGGAAGCCGAGGUGGUUGAGGAACCGAACCUGCGAGGUUUGAUUGCUGAAUGGCGAAGAGGAAGCCGAGGUGGUUGAGGAGCCGAACCUGCGAGGCUUGAUUGCUGAAUGGUGAGGAGGAAGCCGAGGUGGUUGAGGAACUGAAUCUGCGAGGCUUGAUUGCUGAAUGGUGAGGAGGACGCCGAGGUGGUUGAGGAACCGAACCUGCAAGGCUUGAUUGCUGAAUGGUGAGGACGCCGAGGUGGUUGAGGAACCGAACCUACGAGGCUUGAUUGCUGAAUGGCGAAGAGGAAGCCGAGGUCCAAUGGUAAUGAUUGUGCGUUGGCUGCUGUGCCAAUGAUUUGAUCUUUUGUGCUUAUUUUCGAGGAAAAGUGGCUGAACCGUUACGACUUCCAAGGCGCUGCUGCCGUCGAAUUAAGAAUGCAAUUAUGAGGGCAGCUGGCGCUUCUAGAAGCAGACGCGUUGGAGAGGUGCGUGGGAGGCACGCAUAAAUCUAAAGCGUAGGAUUUAAAAAUCGUUUGAAUUUAACGCCUCGGAUUGGAUCUGAAACGGAGGGCUCGGAUUGACUGAGAUUUGAUCUGACGGUUGGGGUUCGUCUUGGACCUUUAUAAAAGGCGAGAAAAAUCCCAAUUUUCAGGAUUUUUGAACACUUUGCACUCUGAAACUCUCUCAAAUCUCCAAAUUUUUCGGCGUCGAGGUUGACUGUGAUAUUAAAUUCCAGCCAGUCUCCGUUUGUGUCGAAUUCCCUUAGGUAUUGUUUGCACAAAAACCCUUGUUACUGUCUUCUUUUUACUGAGAAAAUGGAGUCCACUUCGGGUAAGGAGCUUGUUACAGUGGCGUCUUUAGACUAUGGGGUCGGUCAUGGGGGGAUGUCCGAGGUGGAUAGGUAUGCCAUGGCCGAGGAGCCUGUAGAUUAUACCCAGGAGUGGGGGGCCUCUAGAGUGCCCUCGAAUAUGACGGGAAAGAGGUUGGGGGAACUUAGGGAGAGGUACAGUGUACCCCACUACAUAGAAAUGUUAGUCCCCGAGCCGAACGAGCGGGCCUGCUAUCCGAGGCCCGGCUGCGUGGCUGUGAGUGAAUACCUGUUCAAGGCAGGUAUGCGUCUUCCUCUGCACCCCUUCUUUAGGGCGGUGCUUAGGAAAUUCAUGCUGUCGCCGAUCCAGGUUCUGCCGAAUGGGUGGAGCCAGCUGGUCGGCUCGUACUUCCUGUGGAAGGAAGUGUCACUUGGGGAGGACAUGCCUCUUCAUGUGUUCAUGACCCUGUUCCAGCCCCGAGUAAUUGGGAAGGAGUCAAGGGGGUGGUACUACCUCACGCCUUGGGGGCUCACGCACCCUUUGUGGUGGGACUUCCUUCCUCUAUCAAGGGGUGGCUGGGUGCGAGGUAAAUGGCAGACAGUGGAGGGGGACAAAGCCCUGCCAUGCACAGUGCCGACCCAGUACUACGAAGCUCGUGAGUCUCCCGACCUCUGCUUGUCUUUUGAAGUUAGAAUAUGAAUUCGUCUAACUGUUGGGGGUUCCUUUGUAGAUAGUAGUACGAGGUUCGAGCUCAGCAGGGAGGAAUUUGAGGUGAUAGAGGACAUUUACAAGAAGCCUCUGAACCUUCGCCACUUCGAUCACCUAAUUGAUAGGAGCAGAUACUUUUUGGACUUCGAACUGAUGGCAUCCAGAGGUACGAGGCCCCAACACUUUAUCCCUUGUUUUUAUCCUUAUUGUUUUAUACUGAUGCUGAUCUGACCUAUUGUGCAGAUAAAUUCAAGAAGAGGGAGUACCCAACUCCGGAUAUGGCCUCUAUCUUGAAGGCCACGUCGACUGCGAAGGCGAGGCCCCUGAAGCCUGGGUCCGGCGGGGCAAAGGAAGUCCGAGGCAGGAUUGAGCGCCUGUCCAAGGACUGUACUCCCAGGGCUUCGGAGGAGGCAACUACUCAGAGGCCAGAGAAGCCUAAGGAGCCUCGAGACAAGGAGAAAGUCCCCGAGGAGACUAAGAAGAGGAAGCUGGUGCACAUCUCCAGCUCAGCUCUCAGCUGGCAAGUUUGGGACCUCAGUGUCCCAUAGGGCCGAACAGAUUGGCGAGCCGAAACUUCUUGCUGCAGCCUCCAAAGCCAUCAAAAUGGAGAUGGUAAGAUAGGUAGAGGCUGAAGAGGCUAGAGAAGAGGCCGCAAGGCGAGCUGCAGAAGCCGCUGAGGAGGAGGCAGCAAAGGAGAAGCCGGUUCGGGAGAAGGGGAAGUCUCCGAACUUCCUAGCUGGGAGGGAGGAGGAGCUGGCCCCAGCCUUGAUGAAGGCUCUCCCUGAAGAAAUCAGAAGUGCCACCGAGAGCUUUUACAAGUUCUGGACAGAGAGGUGGCAGCUGUACGCCUCGUCUUGUGAUGCCACUGACUUGACGAGGGCACUGGUGAGCCAAAGAGCCCGGACCUUUGGCCUCGCGCUCGAAUGCAGGGAGGCCUUGAGCGAAUUCCAGACAAGGACCCACGCCUCGGAGGGGAAGGCUGCCUCCCUUGUAGAGGAGGUGAAAGCUGCUAAGGCCGAGGCCGAAGAAGCCAAGGCCCAGAAAGUUGAAGAGGCGGCGAAGCUUGAGUCUGCUUUGGCCCAAAUUGAGGUCUUAAAGAAGAAAGUGUAUGAGUCACAGUGUGAGGUGACCUCCUUGACAAAGAAGGUGGAGGUCUCCAAUGAGCAUCAAAAGGUGACUGUUGAGGCUCUUGAGAAGGCGAAUCUCUCCUUGGCCGGUGCUCGAGAUGCUUAUCAGUUUCUCGAAAGCCAGGCGAAGUGGUACAUGAACGACGCCUCUGUUGCCAGAGAAGAGGCCCGAACUGCAAGGGAAGAGGCGGUGAAGGAAUACAUCGCCAAUUUCCACACUACAGAAGAGUACAAGAGCUUCAGUUCGUACUGGAGGAACUUCGCCUAUGCCGAAGUGCUGGAGCGGGCAGAGGAGCUGUAUCCCAAUUUGGACCUGGCUCAACUUAGGUCCGAAUUUGUGGAUGAGGUACCUCAGACCCCAGCUGAGGAGGUCCAGGGUGAUGGAGAAGUUGAUGCCGAAGCCCCAAGCGCUGAGGCAGAGGAAACAACUACUGAUGCCCAAGUUGCCGAAGCCCCCAGUGCUGAGGCGCCUCCGUCAUCUAGCCAGACAUAGACUAGGUUUUACUUUUCAGUAAUUCGGAUGUAAUGGCCAGAGGCCUCCCUUUGUAACCUUCUUUGAAAUAUCAAUAUAAUGUCUUUCUUCUUUCAUUGUUGCUUUUUGUCCAAGUUUUUAUACCUCGUUAAACAAAUGAACUGGAACUUGAUAUAAGCAUGGACUAAAUAACUUUGUGAGCCUCGGACUGAAAUAAAUGAACAUAACUUGAGUGACUGAACUGUGCGAACCUCGGACUUAAGCAAAUUAACAUGACUUAAGGAGAUGAACUGUGUGAGCCUCGGACUUAAAUAAAUGAACAUGAGUGAGCCUCAGACUGUAGCGGUUGUGGCUUCUCCCCUUGGCGUUCAGCAAGGCCAAAGGGAGGCAUGUGCUAGCGCCUAGGAGUUCAAGCGAGGUAGCCCAGAGGUGGGUCCCGAGCCUCUCCUCCGAGGUGACGCGCAUCCCAGACAUGGUGGAUGGUGCAGCCAUGUUGAGGCUUCUCCCCUUGGCGUUCAGCAAGGCCAAAGGGAGGCAUGUGCUAGCGCCUCGGAGUUCAAGCGAGGUGGCUCAGAGGUGGGUCCCGAGCCUCUCCUCCGAGGUGACGACGCAUCCCAGACAUGGUGGAUGGUGCAGCCAUGUUGAGGCUUCUCCCCUUGGCGUUCAGCGAGGCCAAAGGGGGGCAUGGGCUAGCGCCUCGGAGUUCAAGCGAGGUGGCUCAGGGGUGGGUCCCUAGCCUCUCCUCCGAGGUGACGACGCAGUACGACACGUGGAUUUAAUCAAUGCAUUUUAUUGAGCCAUAGAAAUAUUACGAAGGCUGGGGAAAGUCACCCAGCAUGGUACAAUUCAUUGAUAAUAGAUUCUGAGGUGCUCAAUGUUCCAUGGACGGGGUUGUGCCUUGCCGUCCAUGUCUUCAAUCCAGUAGGUUCCAGGUCGGAUUUCUUCUCUGAUCUUGUAUGGACCUUCCCAAUUCGGCCCUAGGGAACCGGAACCAGGUUCUUUUGAAGAUAGGAAGACUCUCCUGAGCACAAGAUCGUUGAUUUGGAACGACUUCUUCUUGACUUUGGAGUUGAAGUACCUUGUCAUCUUUCUUUGAUAGGUGCCUAUCUUCAGCUGGGAGUCAUCCCUUCUUUCCUCAAUGAAAUCGAGGUCGAGCCUCCGGAGCUCGUCGCUGGUCACUUCGCUGAAGUGCAGAAGUCGUGGAGAUGGAAGUCCGAACUCCACGGGGCUCAUCGCCUCUGUCCUAAAUGCCAUGAGAACAGGGGUCUCCCCAGUAGGGGUCCUGGUGGUGAUUCGGAUUGCCCAAAGUACUUGGGGCAGUUCAUCAACCCAAGCUCCUUUGGAUACAUCAAGCUUCCUUUUCAGGACGUGCUUGAUUGUCUUGUUUAUGGCUUCAACUUGGCCAUUAGCUUGUGGGUGGUGAGGUGUAGAGAAGUGCUUCUUUAUCCCAAACUCUUCACACAGUUCUCUAACCUUCUUGUUAUCAAAUUGCCUGCCAUUGUCUGAGACGAUCGAGUAGGGAAUUCCGAACCGGCAAAUAAUAUUCUUCCAUAGGAACUUGGAGGUGUUUGCUUCUGUGAUUUUUGCCAGUGGUUCAGCUUCGACCCACUUUGUGAAAUAAUCAAUGGCCACUAUUGCAAAACUUGCACCUCCUCUACCCUUAGGUAGGGGGCCUAUGAGGUCCACACCCCAUUUUGAGAAAGGCCAGGGGCUGGAGACUACAGUCAAAUCCUGUGAUGGUCGUCUUUGUACGGGAGAGAAUCGUUGGCAUUUAUCACAUUUUCGCACAAAUUCGAGGGCAUCCCGUUUCAGGGUAGGCCAGUAGUACCCUUGCCUCAGUAUUUUUUGUUCCAGAGAUAGGCCUCCAGAGUGGUUGCUGCACACUCCCUCGUGGACUUCUCUUAGUAUGUAGAUAGCCUCUUCUCCUCCGACGCAUUGUAAGAGUGGAGAGGAAAAGCUUCUCUUGUAGAGAAUGUUGUCAACGAAGAGGAAGUGGGCUGACCUCCAUCUCAGCUUAUAAGCGUCAUUCUUGUUGGUGGGCAGCACCUGGUCUUUCAGAUAUGCUAUGAUUGGUUGCAUCCAGGUGGGAGUUCCAUCGACCCACAUGACAUUAGGGGCCUCGAUAGAAGGCAGGAGGAGGUGCUCGAUAGGCACUACAGUGAGUAGCUCUGAGUCUUUGCUACUAGCCAGCUUCGAGAGUGCAUCCGCAUGAGCAUUUUCGAUGCGGGGAAUCUGGGUUAACUCGAACUUCUCAAAGGAUGGGAUGAGGUUCAUCACCAUUUUCAGAUAGGAGGCCAUCGUUUUGUCUUUGGCUGAGAAGUUACCAUUGACUUGGCUAACAACCAGCUGGGAGUCACUACUGACGAGUAGCUUCUUUACUUGCAUUUCCUUGGCCAGUCUGAGGCCUGGCAGGAGUGCUUCAUACUCUGCAACAUUGUUGGUGGCUUUGAAUCCGAACCUCACGGCCGAGGUGAGUUUGUGACCCUCGGGGCUGAUGAGGACAACCUCGGUACCUGAGCCGACUUCCCCAACUGAGCCAUCGACGAAGAGGCUCCACGUGGGGGGUUCGACGGAUUCCAUGAUUUCAUCCACCUCGGGUAGGUUGGCGAAUUCAGCAACAAAGUCAGCUAAGGCUUGCCCUUUGAUGGCUGUCCUAGCUUUGAACAUAAGGUCAAAUUCACUUAGUUCCACUGCCCAUUUCAACAAUCUUCCCGAGGCAUCGGGCUUCUGGAGUACUUGCUUCAGGGGAAAAUUUGUAAGUACAUGGAUGGUAUGAGCUUGGAAGUAAGGUCUCAAUUUCCUAGAGGCCAUGAUUAAGGCCAAAGCAAGCUUCUCCAUAUCGGGGUAUUGGGUCUCCGGCGAUAGGAGCGCUUUACUCGUAUAGUAGACGGGAUGUUGGGUGAACCCUUCUUUUUGAAUUAGAACCGAACUGAUGGCGUCAUUGGAGACGGCAAGAUAUAGUUGCAAGAUGUCGCCGGGCUUCAGCUUGGAGAGGAGGGAGGCCUGCCCCAAAUGCCUUUUCAGUCCUUGGAAGGCCUCUUCACAUUCUUCAGUCCAUUGGAAUUUCUUCCCAGCCUUGAGCACUUUGAAAAAUGGGAGGCACUUGUCAGUUGCUUUGGAGACGAAGCGACUAAGUGCUGCCACUCGUCCAGUUAAGCUUUGCACCUCCUCUGGCUUUUGAGGGGACCUCAUCUGGCAUAGAGCCUCAAUCUUCUUGGGGUUUGUUUCAAUUCCUCGCUGGUUGACCAUGUACCCCAAGAACUUGUCGGAAGCCACCCCAAAAGCACAUUUCAAGGGGUUGAGCCUCAUCCUGUACCUUCUCAGGAUUUGGAAGGUGUUGUUGAGGUGCGCUAUGUGGUUUUCUGCUUCUAAGCUUUUCACCAGUAUGUCAUCCACGUAGACCUCCAUUGUCUUGUCAAUGAGGUCGGUAAACAUUUUGUUCACGAGUCUUUGGUAGGUUGCUCCGGCGUUUUUCAACCCGAAGGGCAUCAUUCUAUAACAGUAGAGGCCUCGGUCCGUGAUGAAAGAGGUGUGCUCUUCAUCGGCCGGGUGCAUGGGGAUUUGGUUGUAGCCGGAGUAUGCAUCCAUGAACCUCAACAACUCGUGCCCAGCCGUGGAGUCCACCAAUUGGUCAAUCCUUGGAAGCGGAAAGCUGUCUUUCGGGUAAGCUCUAUUGAGGUUUGUAAAGUCGAUGCAUACCCUCCAUUUGCCAUUGUGUUUCUUAACCAAGAUCGGGUUGGAGACCCACCUCGGAUAGGUGGCCUCCCUGAUGAAGCCAUUUUGGAUGAGCUUCUGAACCUCUUCCUUUAGGGCCUCAUACCUCUCAGGGUUGAGGGCUCUCCUUUUUUGUCUAUGCGGGGGCAACAUUAGGAUCAAUUUUCAAGUGGUGGCAGCUGAUCUUGGGGUCUAUGUUCACCAUGUCCUCAUGCCUCCAAGCAAAGACGUCAAGGUUCUUGCCAAGGAAGUCCUUAAUUUUUUCGCUCAAAAUGUUGAAUAGGCCUCUGCCUACUUUCAACACCUUGGACGGAUCUCGGGGGUCGGCUGAGAAGCUCUCAAGUUCCUCUACAGGGAAUGCUUGAGGCUCAUGUUCCAUUAUGCGGGGGUCGAUCUCAUCAACGAUCAGCACCUCCUGAUUAAGCGGUGCGUCAAUCAUAUCAACAUCUUCCUGGUCAGUGGGAGCGUCACCUGGGACAUCCGCCAUGACCACAUCAGCCAUGAUCAUGUGGACUUCCCGGGGCUCUACCUUCUUAAUGGAGCUUAGAUAGCACUCUCCCGAACCUCUCUGGUCGCCUCUCACCGUCGUCACCCCAUUUUCUGUUGGGAAUUUCAUGCAUAGGUGGUGAAUGGAGGUGACUGCUCCCAAUUCCUUUAGGGCCGGUCUGCCCAAGACUCCGUGGUAAGCCGACCGGCUGUCAACUACGAGGAAUUCCAUGAAGUUCAUCGUAGUUUGAGGAGAUUCUCCCAUCUCCACUGCCAGUGUUAUCUUUCCCCUCGGAGUGAUGCUAUCUCUGGUAAGUCCGUACAACGGAGUGGUGGUGGGCGUCAACUGAUGGUCCAAUAUCAUUUUGUCAAAGGCGGACCCGAAUAGGAUGUUGACGGAGCUGCCGUUGUCGACUAGCAUUCGUUUAAGCCCAUUUCGGGCUAUGACAGCCCUCACCACCAGCGUGUCGCAGUGAGGGUAAUGAACUCCUUCGGCGUCUUCCUGGGUGAAGACAAUGGGUGGUACUUGGUUUCUUCGAGAGCUACUGUCCACAAUGUAACUCGUCAGAGGGGGGUGCUUAGCCUCCCUAGCAUAAUUUCUUUUGGUGUUUCGUGUUUCACCGCCAACAUAAGGGCCUCCAAAUAUGGUAUCUAUCUCGUGGAUAGGGGCCUCAUCUUGAGCUUGCCUAUUUCUUCGGUGUCUACGCCCUUCCCUAGGCCUCUCUGUGUCUUGCUCUCUUCGCCUUAGGGAUACAUUCCUUUGACGAGGAGCGGCCGCCUCACGCCCAUGUCGAUUGUUGUGCCUGGGCGGGGGCCUGUUCGCCUGGGGCGAGUUAUGUCUUUCUCUGGCGGGCUCCUGCCGGGAGCGGUGUGCAUAGUCUCUGCAAUCCGCAGUGUCGUGCCCGUAGGACCUGUGGUGCAAACAGUAUCCAGGGAGGUUCGGAUUGGACCUAUUUCUAGGUGCAAAACCUCGGCCUCGGCCUCUUCCUCUACGGGGUCCCUGCUGGGCCUCCAUCUGAUGUGGGUCAGCAGUUGGGUUGACAUCCUCAUAUGCCAAGGUAGGAACCGCGUUCAGAGUUGUGGUGGCCAGAGCUUGGCUGGAGUUCUCAUUUCCGGCCUGGUUCAUCUGGUAGUCCAUGAGGUGGGAGGUCGGACCCCUACCUCGCUGUCUUUGAGGAGGUGGGAGGCCUCUGUUUGCCAUGUUCCUAUGCUCAAUCAAUUCUUCAUUGAUUAUCUCCCUUCUCAUCAUUUCUAGUAGGGCGUCAUAGGUGGUGGGGUCUUGAUUCUACACAUCCCUUUAGAAUAGGGUGUUCAUGUUCAAGCCUCCUCUCAAUGCAGAUAGUGCUUCUCUGUCGGUGACUUGUACGCAGUAGGUCAUCUCGUCGGUGAAGCGAGAUAGGAAGCUUUUCAGGGACUCACCAUGUGCCUGUCUCAUGUCUUGGAGACGCUGGAUGGGGGCCUCUCCUUCCUUGCUCACUGCGAACCUCUUCAAGAAGGUAGUCUUGAACUCGGGCCAGCUUCGGAUGCUCCCAGGUGGUAGCCUACUAUACCAGAUUUCAGCCGCUCCACUGAGGGUUAAAUGGAAUGCUCUGCACUUUACGGCUGGGGUAGCGUCCCUCAGGCUCAUGUGAGUUUUGUAAGCGUUGAGGUGCUUUUCUGGGUCACCUCUCCCAUCAUACUUUGGUAUUUUUGGCAUGACAUAGUGGCUCGGGACCUGGGCAUUUCUUAGUUCUCUUAAGAAUGAUAGGUUCUCAUCAUCAUCGUCCAAGUCACAGGACCUCUGCUGUUCAUCAGAAUUGUAGUCUUCGGCCUCGUUCCUCGGUUGUUGGUGAGAGGGUCCGGGCCGGUUCCUAGCCUCUUCCUCCCUCCUUUGCGGCCUACUUCUAGGCGGGACAGCGCGGGGGGCAUUUUCAUGCCUUCUCUCCGGCUGCUGGGGUAUCGAAGGUGGAGGCUGUGGCCUCGUCCGAGGCUGCUGAGCCUGCUGUUGACUGGGCCUCGGUUCGGUAGGGCUGAUUCUGUCAAAAACACUUCCUGCUCUUCUAUGUCUUGGGUCUUGCUCAUAUGGGGGUGGAAAGUUAUCAUGGCUCAUUUGGACCUCGGUGGGUCGGCCAGAUGCAUAGUUGGAGGAAAUGUCGACUUCCAAUUCCCUCUCAAAUGGGCUUUCACCUCGGCCAUAGUAUGGCGAGGCAGCCCUAUGACUCUGACCUCGUCCUCUUGCUGAUAGUGCCCGUGGGGGGCAUAUGGAGGAAUGGGGAAGCCUCCCUGGCCUUGCAUUUGGGCCAUGAGGAGCUCAUGGCCAAGUUUUGGUUGGCUAUAUCCCUCAUGUUGGCUGCCAUGGUAGCCAUUUCUCUUGAUAGUCGUGCUGUCGCACACAUCUCACCUCUCCUUUGGUGGUGGUGGAGCCUCGUCCGAGCUGAGGUUGGGGAGGCACAUUCGUGCUUUCUCUUACCCUCCUUGGGGGAGUAUCUUCGUUAGAACUCAUUUUUCUUUUAUCAAACUUAGAUUUCUCUAAGUGAUAGGGGUUCCUCCCGUUCUUUUUCAAGAACAAAUCCUUUUUCAAGGGGGUUGCCCAAAUGUUUUUUAGUAAGCUUCUAUCACAAGGUUGCUCGUAGUUAUGGUAUGACUUCCCACAGACGGCGCCAAUCUGUUGACCCCAAAAAGUGCGCCAACAGAUGCCGGUCCCACCCGCGCUUGCGUGGGCGAAUGUCCAACACGCUAAGACACGUGGACGGUCUAAAACGAGCGGUUCAAAGGGGCGUGGGAGUAGCCCAACGAUGCGGGACGGUGAAGUUUGGAAUCCGGCGGGUUGUUUGUAAUCGGAUUGUACAAUAAUUACCAACCGAUGCUCGUAAAUGUAUAUGUAAAAGUGUAUAGACUCGAUUUGUGUAUUGCAAGUAAAUGAGAGAGAGUUGAGCAAAUGUAGUAUUUAGUAUUGAUUCUUGCAUUAGCCUUUGACAUCACACAAUGGAAGUAUUUAUAGUGAUACAUAUGAAAUGGGAGCCCUUGGAUGAAGUGACACGUGGCCUCAUUUCUUUAGUUUAAACGUCUUAUUUUAGGUAUGGGGCUUGACUUACUAGCUUACGGCGCAUUUAUUGCUUGCGUAGGUCCUUCAUAUUAGUGACAAGACUUGACCUUUAUGCUUGUGACAAACGUUCCAUCAGUCAUUUGAAUAAGAUCUCUGAGCAGGCGAUUUCUUGGGAGAAGUGAUUGUGGAGGAAGCUUCUUGUGGUUAAGAGGCUCGUGCGUCAGUUUCGGGGCUUCGAACAUUUAACAAAUACUCCCACCUGAGGAUGGGCCUUGGUAGUUGGGCUUCGGCAGACUCGCAUAGAUCAGAUCGAGGAGCCUCGGGCGGAUGGACCUCGGCUGAAGCACUUCGGAUAUAACCCACCUCGACAAUGUGUGCCACCUCGGCAGGAACGAUACGUGGAUCAGGAUGAGUGGGCCAUUGGCCCAGGUGGGUAGGACAGGUGUGACAACACGCAACACUUAAUACUCUUCUCUCUUCUUAUAAGUAAAUUAAGCAUGCAUCCAAUUCCAUUUUUUUCUCUCUUUUUAAGUUAAACAAGCAUGCACCCAAACAUGCUCAUAGUCAUUUUCCAAGUCUUCCCAGCAUCUCUCAAACUGUCUUCCAACAACCGCUGCUUUCUGUCAGCCAUUACCCAAGCCUCUCUAUAACCCUUUUUUUAACCAUGUUAUUAACUUUUGCUUAUUCAAGUUUGAGGAAAAACGUGUCUUUCAAGGCCAGCCUAAUGUAAGUUUGGACGGAAAUGGUCUGUAGGGACUAAUGGCACCUAAAAACUAAAAGGUUGAAGAUGAAAUACCAAGAAAAAAAGCUUGAAGAUAAUAUUGCAGAACGGUGUAUACAUUGGGGAUGGGUGUGCAAGUUAGCCUUUUAGUAUUUGAACAAUUGGUCUAAGGUCUUCUAGCAUGCCAACAAGUGUCAGUAUAACUGAUAAGUCCGGUUAAUUUUAUUUUAUUUUAUUUUUUUUCUCACUUAGACAAGCGAACUUGAUUUGUGAGGCUAGCAUGGUUUAGAUAUAUAUGGUUCAUAUGCAUCUUCAUGUUGUGCAAUUUGAUAUGACACUGGGGCAUGGGGAGAGAAUCUGUCUAUGUUAAAGUAGGCAUACAUACUCAUUUCUUAUCUUCUGCAAGAAUGCUCAGAUGAUGUGCGGUCAUACUAAGUUGGACAAAAUAGGAAAUAAGAAUGCAUGCCAACAAGUGGAGGUGGCAUUGAUUGAGGAUAAAUUAAAUGGAGGAAGGUUUAGGUGAUUGCUAAGAAUAUUCUUGCUCUAGAUCUCUGAUUAGAUCUAGCAAUAAACAGAAUGGAGAAGAAUAACACAAAUUUAUUGGUAAUAGUUUAGAUUGUUGUUAUUAAUAUUUUUUUGUUGGGAGAGUAUAUUUGGCACAUAAUUUCAUAAACGAUAAUCCUCUAUCUUGUCAAUUAUUUGAAUCUGGAUUGUAGGAUUGUGUGGCCUGGAUUGCAAAUUUAAUAGAUUAUGCUACAAAUUACGAAAUUAGCUUCUGGAAGUGCUAGAAUGUCAAGUGUGAUCCAGAGAAAAUUCUUCAUGCAUUGCUAUAUUUAAUAUCUGAUUUUAAUGACAGCAGUGCUUCUGGCGAUUUAGCAUAGCAAUAUUUUUUAUUGGAUAACAGUACUUGUACAUAAUUUUUUGUACAUUAAGGUAUCCAUACACUCACAUAGGGUGGCCCCACCCGACGUGAGUGUGGGACACUUUGAUGUACAAAAAAUUAUAUGCACCAGGCAAAAUCCUUUUUUAUUUUUGUUAUGAGAUCCCAUUGACAACUGGC